rnacentral:miRNA from 1 species
AUGAGGACCUUUUCACAGACCUGUACUGAGCUCCGUGAGGAUAAGGAACUCUGA